AUGAAGAAAACAAAGGGGCCUACUCACUAUGAUCUGGGUCUUCAGAAGGUGAAUUAUACAAAGGCAACGACUCUCUUUUCAGGUAAUGUUGCAGUUUCUCAAAACCCUAUCUCUUAUUGCAAGCUUAAGAUGGAUGAUUUUUGGUAUCUGCUCAAAUUUUAUAGCCUUCUUAAGAGGAGUAAUGUGUCUGAGAAAUUUAUCAAAGAUUUUUUGCACGGACAUGGUUAUAAAACAGAGGAGGAAUUUCUUAUUGCUUUUACUACUGAACCUCUUCAAGUAGUGCCUCCUAAUACAGUAUAUGAUGUGGAUGUGAAAAAAUUGGCUGAAAUUUUGGAUGUUGAGAGUUGUGAUUAUUUUAUGAUUGAUAUCUAUACAAAGGAUGCUUAUAAAGCAUUGUCUGGAAGCUUUGAGUUUGACAGAACAACUAAGACAAACAUCUUCUACUCCAGUUUGUCUGCCACAAAUAUGCUGAGAAAAGCACAACUUCCCUAUGGUGCACUGGUCACAAGGAUCUUUGAAUUCUUCAAGAUUCAAAUUCCACUGAAGCUAAGUACGAGAACUCUUGUUGUCAUGUCUAUCGGCAAAGACUUGUUCGUGUGGAAAGGCCCAACACCGAGAGUGAAUAUAAAAACCCCGAACAGCUAAAGGAGAUCUUCUCCAAGAUAAACGACUAUCCCAAGCCAGCCUUCCAUCCCCUGGUGAAGUCGUUCGCUGAUGGACUAGUGACCCUCGGGGGCGGGAAAUGGGCACGGCACAGGAAGAUUAUCAAUCCAGCAUUUCACAUGGAAAAGCUGAAGCCUACGUUGCCGGCGUUUUAUUCAAGUUCCGCUGAAAUGGUUGAUAGAUGGGAGAAAUUGAUAUUAGUGGCGAGAUCGGGUGAGAUUGACGUGUGGAUCGACAUUCAAAAUUUGACCCGUGACGUGAUCUCUCGGAGCAUUUGGCAGUAGCUUUGAAGAAGGCAAAAGGAUUUUCAAACUUCAGGAGGAAAAAGCCCUACUCGCAGUUAAAGCCCUUCAAUCGGUCUACGUCCCUGGCUGGAGGUUUGUGCCAACUAGUGUGAACAGGAGGAUGAAGAAUAUAGAGAAGGAAGUGCGGGCUCUGGUCAUGGACAUCGUCCGCAGAAGAGAGAAAGCAAUGAAGGCAGGAGAAGCUGCUAGCGAUGUUCUGUUGGGGUUGUUGCUGGAAUCAAACAUGAAAGAAAAUGUUGGGAUGAGCCUUCACGAAGUGAUCGAGGAGUGCAAGCUUUUCUACUUCGUCGGACAAGAGACGACUUCGGUCUUGCUGGUUUGGACCAUGGUCUUGUUGAGCGCACACUCAGAUUGGCAAGCCCGAGCUAGGGAGGAGGUCCUCCAAGUCUUUGGAAGCAGAAAACCCAACUUUGACGGGUUAACCCACCUCGAGACUGUCACAAUGAUCUUGAAUGAGGUCCUAAGGCUAUAUCCACCGGUAAUCUUGCUGGAACGCAAGGUUCACAAGGAAACAAAACUCGGGAAGCUUACCAUUCCCACAGGAGUCCAGCUAUCAGCGUCACCUCUCCUCAUCCACCGUGAUAAAGAACUGUGGGGGGAGGAUGCUGACGACUUCGAGCCGGAGAGGUUUGCCGAGGGAGUGUCUAGGGCCACCAAGAACCAAGUCUCCUUCCCCGUUUGGAUGGGGCCCUCGCAUAUGCAUUGGCCAGAACUUCGCAUUGAUAGAGGCGAAGAUUGCACUCACCAUGAUACUUCAGCGAUUCACAUUUCCUCAAUUUGCAUUUGACCUCUCACCAUCUCAUAAGCAGGCUCCUUUCAUUGUCAUCACCCUCCAGCCAUAGCAUGGUGUUCUAGUCAUCUUGCAUCAGGCAAACUAAAAGUAACAACUCAGGGUAACGUAGUGUAGACAAAAACGUGCAUUGAUAUGAUGAAAGGAUACCCUUUUUUGCCAUUUAUGCAU